rnacentral:rRNA from 1 species
CCUACGGGAGGCUGCAGUGGGGAAUAUUGCACAAUGGGGGAAACCCUGAUGCAGCGACGCAGCGUGAGUGAAGAAGUAACUCGUUAUGUAAAGCUCUAUCAGCAGGGAAGAAAAUGACGGUACCUGAGUAAGAAGCCCCGGCUAACUACGUGCCAGCAGCCGCGGUACUACGUAGGGUGCAAGCGUUAUCCGGAUUUACUGGGUGUAAAGGGAGCGUAGACGGCAGUGCAAGUCUGGAGUGAAAGGCGGGGGCUCAACCCCCGGACUGCUGGGGAAACUGUCCGGCUGGAGUGCAGGAGAGGUAAGUGGAAUUCGUGGUGUAGCGGUGAAAUGCGUAGAUAUGAGGAAGAACACCGGUGGCGAAGGCGGCUUACUGGACUGUAACUGACGUUGAGGCUCGAAAGCGUGGGGAGCGAACAGGAUUAGAUACCCCAGUAGUC